rnacentral:lncRNA from 1 species
AGAAGAGACAUAAAGGGCUUGGACAGACUCCCUGGCUGUAGCAAGCAGCAGCUAAGACAUGCUGUAAAGUAGCAAACGGUAUUUAGAUGCUUAAGGACGAUAAACACAUUGGUUUUUAUCCAGAAAUCUCUCCCAGUUGAACUCCCAGCAAGCAUCAGUCCUCAAGGAGCAAGAAGACUUCAGGCACUCUUCAGUGAAAGCAUAGCAAUUAUGAUGAACAGGAUCUUACUCAAUCCUCAAUAUGCCCUGAAGCAUUUGUGCCUAAAGACAGACAUUUAUGCCCCCAAUUCACUGCUGUGAAGAGGAAAGCUUAGGGUCAGAGGGACUUUGAGAAGUCCUCUAGCAGGUGCAUGGAGUUCCCCAGAGCAGCUCCCAAGCCACCCACAUGGGAAAAUAAGUUACUGGCAAAGGAUGAACUCAACUCUUCUGCUCACCUGCUU